AGUGCGGCGCCGGGCUCUGCCUGGGCUAGUGGCACCGACUUGGGAAUUCGUUUGAGAAACUUCGUAUUCCUCUGCCCUGGACACUUCCAAUUGUGGGGUGAGGGGAAAGAGAACCAAGAAAAGCAGAAACUGCUGACAUCCUAGCAGCCAGGAGAAAAAUGUCCUGGGAGAGACAGGUACUUGUUCCAGCAGUGAAAUGGGAUGCUCUGGGCUCAGGUACAAACAAGGGUGUUUAGAAACGCGGAUCUCCAGGGCUCAUGUGCCCAUUUCAGAGUGCAGACACGCAGCUCACCCACAGGGAAGACAGAGAAAGCUCUGACCCCAAGAGAAACCGACAUCAUACA
rnacentral:lncRNA from 1 species